UACGGAGGAUCCGAGCGUUAUCCGGAUUUAUUGGGUUUAAAGGGUGCGCAGGCUGCUUUGUAAGUUAUAGGUGAAAUUUCGAUGCUUAACAUCGAAACUGCCUGUGAUACUGCAGAGCUAGAGACCAGUUGCAGAAGGCGGAAUGUGUAGUGUAGCGGUGAAAUGCUUAGAUAUUACACAGAACACCGAUUGCGAAGGCAGCUUUCUAAGCUGGAUCUGACGCUGAGGCACGAAAGCGUGGGUAGCGAACAGG
rnacentral:rRNA from 1 species